rnacentral:rRNA from 1 species
GUGUAAGUGCAGUAAUGCAUUCAGCUGAUGGUUACUAAUAGGUCGAAAGCUUAUCCA